AGCCGCGCUUUCUUUCUGCGCGUAGAUCGUUAAGUUCUUUAGACUCGGAAAAAUAUUGAGACCGAUGUGGACACUGAGCCGAGUUUUUCUGUUGUUCUCAGUCCUUCAGCUUUUAGAAGAGUAAAUCCGAAAUGUCUGGGAUGCUUUGAGAAGCGUCCUCCUACAAGGAGUGUCUGUCGGGGUUUAGAAAUGCUGGUAACAGAGCAGCCGCCUCUAUGUCCUCCUAUCUAUACCCAGACCAAUGGGGAAGGUCCUGAGGCUCAUCACUUUCAGCUGCCUACUGCCAGAGGCCUGUCAGGGUAUGUAAAUGGAGUGGCUAUGACGAGGAACGGGACCUGCUCACUCCAACGCCGGCCAUAAGUUCUGCAUGCCUAAAAUUUCAGGAAGGUCACAUCAAUAGGUCAGCAUGGCCAGAGUUUCAGAAAACAAAGAUAUUUCGUAAGAAGAGGAAUUAAUUCCAGCUCACAGUGAGAACAUUACAAGAGAAGCAAGUUCAUUGUGAAGGGCAAUCAGAUAGAUCCUGACCUCCUGAAUUUGGAAGAAGCCAGAAUGUCAUUGGUUCCUGCAUGGGUGUCGCUGAGGAUGUGAUCUGAAGAUAAUGACAUUGCACAGAUAUAAAGGCCUGAGGAGUAUCAUGCUGUAAUCUCAUAAAAUCUUUGUGAAUUUUGGUCCUCUGAGUCACCUGAGAGAAGCAGUCCAGAGGCUGUGUGUGAAAGGAUGGGAGCUACAAGGCAAGGGAAAGCACAGAACAAACAGUUUUGCUAAUGCUGCAUAAGUGCUUCUUAAAGCUGAAAAUGAAAAGUACACAAUCUGGCAGGGAAAAAGAUGAGCGUGUGAGUAAAAGUCAUGUACCUCUGAUGUUGUUUUCUACCUUCUAUGCUAUGUGCUUUGUGCCUUAGGGAGAAUGAAUAAUACUGUUUUGAAGACAAAUUAAGUUACCUUAAUUAAUGCAUAAUGCAUUGUUUUGAAGACAAAUUAAAUUACCUUC
rnacentral:lncRNA from 7 species